GUUCUUGGGGUCAAUACCGACGAUCUUCCGGUUGAGCAGUUCUUUUUGUCAGUCGCUCUGCUUGUGAUUAGGUACUUUAGAAUACAUGUUCUUCCGAAGCCCUCUCCAGAAGACUUGUGGAGCUACAGUAUCCUCGCAGUAUUCGGCUUGAUACUUGACGUGUUUAGUAUGGCGGUGGGUUGCUCCGGCCUUGCUUUGAUGUCAAAUGAGUUCAGCCUCUCGAUCUUUCUACUGGUGUUCUACUCUUUCUCCUUGCUCGAGACGUUAAUCUAUUUCCUGGCGAGGGUAUCUUGUUUUGCACGAAAGUAUUCUAUCUGAGGAAACUCUACAAGCUCUUGCAUGAACAGCAGGUAAGCAACGAGCAAGAUGCUGAGAAUCAGGAAUGCAAUGGUAAUGGCCCAGCAACAGUGCCAGUUCAUGACAAGUUCAAUGUUCAGCUCCUGAAUGCUGUUGCCUUCCUUGAGAUUUACAGCAUGCACCAUGAGAAGCCCGCUUACUAUGAUGCUUUGGACAAAGAACAAGUGUGCGUUCGCAACAUUAUGGUUUCAUCAGAGGGUGGCAAGAAGCGCUGGUCCUUGCCAGCGCUUAGUGGAUCUUCCACUCUACUGAUUCGGAAGGGCAUUCUGCACAAUGUGGACUUGGACGAGGUCCUUGAGUUCAUCUACAAACGCUACAACGACCCUGCAACUUGGCUACAGAAUCUGAAGUACCGCUGCACAAAGUAUGAAGUACCUGCACACAAGAUUGGGGAGAAUCCUACAACUUCAAUUUCUUUCACAGGUCCUUGUGGUUUUUGUGUUCGUCACUGUGAACAUUCUCUUUCUUCUCCACUGGAUGACGAGUAUGAAGAACGUAUAAGUUAUGUUUCACACAACAAGCCUCUGAUCAAACGGAUCUUCAAUGAGCUCCUCACCUGGGAAAGCAGCCUUGACAUCCGACGGUCCGCGGUGGCACUCUUGCUUUGCAUCUGCGAAAACAAGGAGGCUGCUUCCGUGGUAUCUCAAGCUGCUAAAUCGGAUGACCGACGACUCCAAGCACUUCAAAACGCCUUGCCUCCCAGUCCGGAUAACGAGCUUAACAGGCUUCUGCAGAAACUAAAUCUUUCAGAAAAUGAUCUCCAACAGGGUGAGACUCUGGACCUGAAGAACAAGGUCACAGAAACAAAACAAAAGUACAUGAUAUAGAUAUGUGUAUACAUAUGUGGCUUUUCUAUUUCAUUGUGAGAUAUGCCAUUAGGAAAGAAGAUAAAAGAAUCCAUAAAUCCAUAUAUAUAUAUAUAUAUAUAUCUAAAAUGCUUCUCUUCCUUUGGUCCUUUAGUUCCAACUAGUAUAAUUGUGAGAAUG
rnacentral:lncRNA from 1 species